rnacentral:lncRNA from 1 species
CUGCAUUUCAAUCGCUGUCAUUUGUGAUUCUGUUCUCCAUGUAGGUCAUAGGCCUUCUCCUUCUUGGUCUCUCAUUCCCUUGUUCAUUCUUUUAUUAUUGGUGUUUCACAAUAUUUCACUGUGCUUAUAGCAUCAAUGAUGACCAAUGUAUAUGACCCCUUCAUAUAUAUUGUUUUAUAUCUUUUCAAUUAUCUCAAUUCUUCCUUGGUUCUUGGCACCCUGAUGAACACUGUUUACUUCCUCUUAACAAUAGGAAGUAUUGUCCCUAUGCAGCUGCCCCUCUGCAACAGUGAAAACCUCUUCUGUUUUUUCCUUCCUCCCUGCUAAAGCAAGUCAGGGUUUCAAUUCAAUAAACGUUUUUUUGUUUGUUUGUUUUUUGUUUUUUUCUGAGCACCUAGUGAUAUCAGGAACUCAAAGCAGGCACUAAAAAUCAAAGGAGAACAGACUAUUCAAUGACUGUAGCACGUAGCAGUGACUAGAAGGGCAGGAGAAAGAAGAUACCAAAUGGAUUUUAUUCUUUUCCUUGGUUAACACAGCACUCGGAGCAUUUGCAUAAAUAGAUGUGACUCACGUGGGGAUUUAUCACGCAGCUGGGGGGAAUCCACAAGAUGGCCUGCCUCAGGAUAAACAACAGAAAAGAAACAAACUUGGGAUGAUUUCAGUAGCACAAAUCGAAAAGAAACAGUUUGGUUUAUCGGUGAAAAUGUUAGUAUCGUCCUCCUUCACACUACCAAUGGCUGACAGUGGAAAAUGAUGGAUGCUGAAGCUAAAUCAAAGCAAUGGACACCUUGGGAAAAUACGAAUGGAAAAAAGAGGAGCCAAAAACAUUCUACUCUUCUGCCUUCCCACCCAGAAAGUAUUAAUAGUAAAUUUAUAGUACUUCUGGGGGAGGACUCAAGAUGGCGCUGUGAGAACAACCCAGGAUUGGAGCUCUCGUUGAAUCCGCAAACGGGACAUGGAUGAAUCUGGAGAACGUCAUCCUCAGCAAACUGACACAAGAACAGAAAAUGAAACACCGCAUAUUCUCACUCAUAGGUGGGUGAUGAAAAAUGAGAACACAUGGACACAGAAAGGGGAGUACUAAACACUGGGGUCUAUUGGGGGGAAAAGGGGAGGGCCAGUGGGAGGGGGAGGUGGGGAGGGAUAGCCUGGGGAGAAAUGCCAAAUGUGGGUGAAGGGGAGAAGGAAAGAAAAGCACACUGCCAUGUGUGUUCCUACGCAACUGUCUUGCAUGCUCUGCUCAUGUACCCCAAAACCUAAAAUCCAAAAAAAAAAAAAAAAAUUUAUAGUACUUCUUUCUUAUAUAUAGAUAAAACGUAUUAUACGGUAUAGAAUAUCAUGACAUAUUAACAUUAUUGUAUUAGUCUAUUCUUGCACUGCUACUAAAGCCAUACCUGAGACUGGAUGAUUUAUAAAGGAAAGAGAUUUAAUUGACUUACAGUUCUUCAGGGCUGGGGAGCCCUCAGGAAACUUAUAAUCAUGGUGGAAGGGGAAGCAAACACAUCCUUCUUCACACGACAGCAGCAAGGAGAAGUGCUGAGCAAAAGGAGGAACAGCCCUUUAUAAAACCGUUAGAUCUUCAACAUCUGAACCACACUUGCAGCCCGAUCCUCGACCCACACAUCUGCAGCCCUGACCUCUGACCCCUGACCCACUCUUACAGCCCCAGGCCCCGAGGCCCCAAGGUCCUGCCUGGCCUGGCCAAGGACACAGAGCCCUGGCCCCCGCUUUCUGCCUGGACGUGAGAACUCACUCACUAUCACAAGAAUAGCAUGAAAGUAAUUACCCCUGUGAUUGAACUACCUCCCAUCAGAUCCCUCCCACAACACAUGAGGGUUAUGGGAACUACAAUUCAUGAUGAGAUUUGGGUUGGGACACAGCCAAACCAUAUCAAUUAUUAGUUGAUAAUUGAAUUGAUUAUAUAAUAAUAUUAUUUAGUGAAUAGCAUAUAAUUUAUCUCAACAUUCAUUAGCAGUAAUGUUUAACAUUUGUUUUUGAGGUAAAUAUACUGGUUUGGAGACAGACAAAUCUUGGCUCAAAUUUGGAAUCUACUGCUAGUAAAAUGAAGCUGGACUUUUUCCCCCAUUUAUUUGAUCACGGCAAGUCUAGUUGCCUCAAAGAAUCAUAAGAAUUACAUUAGGUAAUAUUAAAGAGGACUACAAUAGACUAAAUUUCUGUGCCCUCCUCAAAUUUAUACAUCAAAAUCUAAUUUCUAGUGUAAUGGUAUUUGGUGUUGGGGUUUUUGUGAAGUGAUAAGGUUAUGAGGGUGAAGCUCUCAUGAAUGAGAUUAGUGCCCUUAUGAAAGAAAACUCAGAGAGGUCCCUGCUCCUUCUGUUAUAUGAGGGCAUGGAGAAAGGCAGCUGUCUGUGAACCAUGAAUCAUGUCCAUUCCUAUAGACAUGGAAUCUGCUGGUGACUUGAUCUUGGACUUCCAGACUCCAGGGCUAUAAAAAAUACAUUUCAAUUGUUUAGAAGUCACAUAGUCUAUAGUAUACUGUUCUAGCAGCCCCAAAGAACUAAAGACAGAAACUAGCAGAUAAGCAGCUACUAGAAAUUUUCUAAUGAAUGCUUAUAAUCAUAAUUAUUACAACAUCAUUACUUCUAGUUGAAGGACAGUCCUUCUUAGUUGGUGAUUCUGAGAAUCACAGCAGGUAGCACUUAUUUCUGCAGGAUAUGUGAUUGUCACCGUUGCUGACUUUGAUGGUCUGUGUGAGCAGGCUGGGUAAAUGAACCACAUGUCCUGACCCCUCUAAGAAAAUCUGCAGACAGACCCACUUUGAGAUCAUACGUCACACUGUCACUCUCAGUGGGAGAACUGUCUUUCUCUCUAGGAGCAUGUGAGCUCCUGAGGGUAAGGAGGAUAUUUUUUUCAUAUAUUUAGCACCCGGCAGUGGAUGAGAAAUACUGUUGUAGAGCUGUGGUCUUGACUGUGCUGGUGGUAGAGGAAGAAGAAAUAUUAAUAGGAGAAGGUAAUAUUUACUGAACACUUGCUCUCUGUUUAGGGAUUUAAUUAAAUGAUUUAAUAUCCACAUUCUGAGAUAGCUAGCACAGUUUUCAGCAUAUUAUCUAACUAUUGUUUCUGUUUUUGAUUAUGUAAAAUUAGGAAAAUUGCAGAACUAUCUCAGAGCAUGGGCAUGAGGUUUUAAUAGGAAAAUAUAUGCAAAGUGCUUAGAACAAGCUUAGCACAUGGUGAGCAUUCAGGAGAAAACUGAGGCUCAGCAAGCCUUAGAGGCUGCUGCAAGGAAAACUCCUGUGUAUGUGGUAUAGAAGCAGCACUCUGUCUUCAGAGGCCCUGUUCUUCAUCACUGAACCUCAUGGCUUCUACAGGUUUAUGGCUUCUAUAGGUUUUUAGUAAAUAUGAGUUGAAUGGAUCACUGUCAAGCCUUGCUUUUGCAGAGAAAGAAAAUUAGAUUUAGGAAAGACAAAAAGCAUGUGUGCUAUUGGGAAAUUGCAGAUUCGGGGUACAUUCCACUAUGAUAAGCAGUGUAGUUCCUGGGCCCUGACUUAGGUAACCUGCUACACCUUGUACUUUCCACUUUUACACAGACAAAUGGGAGACAGAAGAGCAUAGGAAUGAGUUCAUAUUCUAACGCUUACCCUCUGUGGCCUCGAACCAGUCAAUUACCCUGCUUAUUCCUCAGUUUCCUGAUUUGUAAAAUUAAGAAAUUUUUUAAAAAUGUCUAAAUUUCUUACCAGUUUUACCUCACUUUGUUUCUUGAGUCAACCAUAUUUUCCCUCCUAUCCAGUGGAAGCUAAAAACCUAUAAACUCCAUCUUUCCCCACUACUCAUUUGCCAGUUACCUUUAACAGUCAAUGAGCUGGUUGGUGUGUUCAAGUUAUCCUGAAUACAGAUAUACUGGGGGUUAACUGCAGUUUUUCCCCUAUGGGCCUCAGAUUGGAAAAGUUUUGAAACAAUUUGCAGAGUGUAUGAUCCCUUCACUCUGGACCUGAGGAAGGGGCCAAGCCCCUUUGCAAUGAGCAGUCUUUGAGCAGCC